GUAGGGAGCGAGCGUUAUCCGGACUUAUUGGGCGUAAAGCGUGCGUAGGCGGUUUGUUAAGUCUGAAAUUAAAGCCUGAGGCCCAACCUCAGUUCGUUUCAGAAACUGGCAGACUUGAGUGUGGUAGAGGUAAAUGGAAUUUCUAGUGUAGCGGUAAAAUGCGUAGAUAUUAGAAGGAACACCAGUGGCGAAGGCGAUUUACUGGGCCAUUACUGACGCUGAGGCACGAAAGCGUGGGGAGCAAA
rnacentral:rRNA from 1 species